rnacentral:rRNA from 1 species
GUGCCAGCAGCCGCGGUAAGACAGAGGGUGCAAACGUUGUUCGGAAUUACUGGGCAUAAAGCGCACGUAGGUGGUCUGCUAAGUCAAGUGUGAAAUCCCCCGGCUCAACCGGGGAAUUGCGCUCGAUACUGGCAGGCUAGAGGUCGGUAGGGGUGGGCGGAACUCCAGGUGGAGCGGUGAAAUGCGUAGAUAUCUGGAGGAACACCGGUGGCGAAAGCGGCUCACUGGACCGAGUCUGACACUGAGGUGCGAAAGCUAGGGUAGCAAACGGGAUUAGAAACCCCCGUAGUCC